UACGGAGGGAGCUAGCGUUGUUCGGAAAUACUGGGCGUAAAGCGCACGUAGGCGGCGCGGUAAGUCGGGUGUGAAAUCUCGGAGCUUAACUCCGAAACUGCAUUCGAUACUGCCGUGCUUGAGGACUGGAGAGGAGACUGGAAUUCCCGGUGUAGCGGUGAAAUGUGUAGAGAUCGGGAGGAACACCGGUGGCGAAGGCGGGUCUCUGGGCAUUUCCUGACGCUGAGGAACGAAAGCGUGGGGAGCGAACAGG
rnacentral:rRNA from 1 species